GGGGCCUUAGCUCAGCUGGGAGAGCACCUGCUUUGCAAGCAGGGGGUCGUCGNNNGGUUCGAUCCCGACAGGCUCCACCA
rnacentral:tRNA from 1 species